CCUACGGGUGGCUGCAGUGAGGAAUAUUGGUCAAUGGCCGGAAGUCUGAACCAGCCAUGCCGCGUGAAGGUCAGUGCCCUAUGGGCGUUAAACUUCUUUUGUGCGGGAGCAAUAAUGGUCACGUGUGGCCAGACGAGAGUACCGUACGACUAAGCAUCGGCUAACUCCGUUCCAGCAGCCGCGGGAAUACGGGGGAUGCAAGCGUUAUCCGGGUUUAUUGGGUUUAAAGGGUGCGUAAGCUGUGAGGUAAGUCACCGGUGAAAUGCCCCAGCUCAACGGGGGGAAGUGCCAUUGAUACUGCUUGGCGUGAAUGCGGAUGCGGUGGGAGGAAUGUAUGGUGUAGCGGUGAAAUGCAUAGAUAUCACACAGAACACCGAUUGCGAAGGCAUCUCACGAAUCCGCGAUUGACGCUGAUGCACGAAAGCGUGGGUAUCAAACAGGAUUAGAUACCCUGGUAGUC
rnacentral:rRNA from 1 species